UACGGAGGGUGCGAGCGUUGUCCGGAAUCACUGGGCGUAAAGAGCGUGUAGGCGGCCAGGUAGGUCUGGUGUGAAAACUCGAGGCUUAACCUCGAGAUGUCAUCGGAAACCAUCUGGCUAGAGUCCGGAAGAGGAGAGUGGAAUUCCUGGUGUAGCGGUGAAAUGCGCAGAUAUCAGGAAGAACACCAAUGGCGAAAGCAGCUCUCUGGGACGGUACUGACGCUGAGACGCGAAAGCGUGGGGAGCGAACAGG
rnacentral:rRNA from 1 species